rnacentral:rRNA from 1 species
GAUGAACGCUGGCGGCGUGCCUAAUACAUGCAAGUCGAGCGAACGGACGAGAAGCUUGCUUUUCUGAUGUUAGCGGCGGACGGGUGAGUAACACGUGGAUAACCUACCUAUAAGACUGGGAUAACUUCGGGAAACCGGAGCUAAUACCGGAUAAUAUUUUGAACCGCAUGGUUCAAAAGUGAAAGACGGUCUUGCUGUCACUUAUAGAUGGAUCCGCGCUGCAUUAGCUAGUUGGUAAGGUAACGGCUUACCAAGGCAACGAUGCAUAGCCGACCUGAGAGGGUGAUCGGCCACACUGGAACUGAGACACGGUCCAGACUCCUACGGGAGGCAGCAGUAGGGAAUCUUCCGCAAUGGGCGAAAGCCUGACGGAGCAACGCCGCGUGAGUGAUGAAGGUCUUCGGAUCGUAAAACUCUGUUAUUAGGGAAGAACAUAUGUGUAAGUAACUGUGCACAUCUUGACGGUACCUAAUCAGAGAGCCACGGCUAACUACGGG